rnacentral:rRNA from 1 species
UGCGUAGGCGGAAAAUUAAGUCAGUGGUGAAAUCCCUGCGCUUAACGUGGGCAUUGCAUUUGAAACUAUGUAGCUAGAGUUCUGUAGAGGGGGGUAGAAUUCCAGGUGUAGCGGUGAAAUGCGUAGAGAUCUGGAGGAAUACCGAUUGCGAAGGCAGCCCCCUGGACAGUGACUGACGCUCAUAUGCGAAAGCGUGGGGAUCAAACAGGAUUAGAUACCCCCGUA